AGUGAACGCUGGCGGUAGGCCUAACACAUGCAAGUCGAACGGCAGCACAGUAAGAGCUUGCUCUUACGGGUGGCGAGUGGCGGACGGGUGAGGAAUACAUCGGAACCUACUUUUUCGUGGGGGAUAACGUAGGGAAACUUACGCUAAUACCGCAUACGACCUACGGGUGAAAGCAGGGGAUCUUCGGACCUUGCGCGAUUGAAUGAGCCGAUGUCGGAUUAGCUAGUUGGCGGGGUAAAGGCCCACCAAGGCGACGAUCCGUAGCUGGUCUGAGAGGAUGAUCAGCCACACUGGAACUGAGACACGGUCCAGACUCCUACGGGAGGCAGCAGUGGGGAAUAUUGGACAAUGGGCGCAAGCCUGAUCCAGCCAUACCGCGUGGGUGAAGAAGGCCUUCGGGUUGUAAAGCCCUUUUGUUGGGAAAGAAAAGCAGCAGGUUAAUACCUCGCUGUUCUGACGGUACCCAAAGAAUAAGCACCGGCUAACUUCGUG
rnacentral:rRNA from 1 species